rnacentral:snRNA from 1 species
CGGGGCCUCAUUGAUCACCGAGGAUGGGCCCCCAGGGCGAGACACGGGCAUUGCACUGCGCUCGCGUUAACCUCUGCCACUUCCCCAAACUGGAGCAGAUAA